GACCAUGUGACCUCAUGGACAAGGCGUCUGAGUCCGGAUCAGAAGAUUGAGGGUUCAAGUCCCUUCGUGGUUG
rnacentral:tRNA from 1 species